AUAUAAGCGCGAAGCCCCCUCUAAGAUAAGAUAUCCCUCCCCUUCGGGGGAAUAAGACACCUUGUAGAUCACGAGGUUGAUAGGCCGGAGGUGUAAGACCCGUAAGGGUUUCAGCUGACCGGUACUAAUCUGUCGAAUGGCUUGACCAC
rnacentral:rRNA from 1 species